rnacentral:tRNA from 1 species
GGCUGUUGUAGCUCAGUCGGUAGAUCACAUCCUUGGUAAGGAUGAGGUCAUGAGUUCGAUUCUCAUCAACAGCUU